GAUGAACGCUGGCGGCGUGCCUAAUACAUGCAAGUCGAGCGAACAGACGAGAGUGCUUGCACUCUCUGACGUUAGCGGCGGACGGGUGAGUAACACGUGGGUAACCUACCUAUAAGACUGGGAUAACUUCGGGAAACCGGAGCUAAUACCGGAUAAUAUUUAGCUUCGCAUGAAGCAAUAGUGAAAGACGGUUCUGCUGUCACUUAUAGAUGGACCCGCGGGGUAUUAGCUAGUUGGUGGGGUAACGGCUCACCAAGGCAACGAUACAUAGCCGACCUGAGAGGGUGAUCGGCCACACUGGAACUGAGACACGGCCCAGACUCCUACGGGAGGCAGCAGUAGGGAAUCUUCCGCAAUGGACGAAAGUCUGACGGAGCAAUGCCGCGUGAGUGAAGAAGGUUUUCGGAUCGUAAAACUCUGUUGUAAGGGAAGAACAAGUACGUUAGUAACUGAACGUACCUUGACGGUACCUUACCAGAAAGCCACGGCUAACUACGUG
rnacentral:rRNA from 1 species